rnacentral:rRNA from 1 species
AGUGAACGCUGGCGGCGUGCUUAAUACAUGCAAGUCGAACGAUGAAGUCCUAGCUUGCUAGGAUGGAUUAGUGGCGCACGGGUGAGUAAUAUAUAGUUAAUCUGCCUUGCACUGAGGAACAACAGUUGGAAACGAUUGCUAAUACCUCAUACUCCAACUUUACAUAAGUUAAGUUGGGAAAGUCUUUUCGGUGCAAGAUGAGACUAUAUCGUAUCAGCUAGUUGGUAAGGUAAUGGCUUACCAAGGCUAUGACGCGUAACUGGUCUGAGAGGAUGAUCAGUCAAAUUGGAACUGAGACACGGUCCAAACUCCUACGGGAGGCAGCAGUAAGGAAUAUUGUGCAAUGGGGGAAACCCUGACGCAGCAACGCCGCGUGGAGGAUGACACUUUUCGGAGCGUAAACUCCUUUUGUUAGGGAAGAAUAAUGACGGUACCUAACGAAUAAGCACCGGCUAACUCCGUG